CCUAGCUGUCUUCACUGAAAAGGCCUACUUGGUAAUAAGCAUCCCUGGAGCCUAGACUAUGUUGAUUGAAGUAUCAUUUCACACUAAAAGAAGAGAAGUGGCUGGUUCCAGGUCUACGGCAGAGAAAACAUAAGGAGCUUCAGAGAAAAACAAAACCAGUGUACAACUUUGAAGGAAGAAGAAUGGCUGCUGUGUAUAAUGUUGGAGAAGUAUUCUCUGCCACCCAUCUUCUCUCCUACAGUAUAAUCAGGCCAAACUUUCCAAAAUAUAACUUUAAUUCUGAAUCUUGCUCAAAAUUUCCUACUCUUCCUUUUUUUUUCUUACUUGACAACCAGGCUGUCCAGCUCACCUUCAGUGAUUACUCUCAACAAAAGCACCCAAUAACAAAAUUAGUCCACCUCUAUACUUUUCUCAUCCUGCUACAACUGGUUAGAAUCACUUUUAUCUAAAUCUUAAUCAUCUCUCAAGACCCAGUUAAAGCCCUCUAUCAUUCAUAAGACCUUUCCCAGUCUUCAUGGUUCACACAUUAGCUCUCUCUGAAAGUCCAUAACAGCUUUCAUCUGAACUUUCCUUUUGGCAUUUAAUAAAAUACUCUCUUGUGCCCUUGCCAAGUCUUUUUUUGAUCCACCUUCUACUCCAGUUCCUAGAAAAUAGUAACUGUAUACCAUAAAAACAAAGAUGAUUAU